rnacentral:rRNA from 1 species
GUACACGCUGUGACUAGCAUAUCAAUAAGCGGAGGAAAAGAAACUAACAAGGAUUCCCCUAGUAACGGCGAGUGAAGCGGGAAGAGCUCAAAUUUGAAAUCUUAAAGGGUUUCCCUUUACGAAUUGUAGUUUAAAGAAGUGUUUUCUGUUGAGGUUUUGGUAAAAGUUCUUUGGAAUAGGACAUCAUAGAGGGUGAGAAUCCCGUAUUUGACCUUUACUUUCAACUUUGUGAUACACUUUCAAAGAGUCGGAUUGUUUGGGAAUGCAGUCCAAAAUGGGUGGUAAAUUUCAUCUAAAGCUAAAUAUUGGCGAGAGACCGAUAGCGAACAAGUACCGUGAGGGAAAGAUGAAAAGAACUUUGAAAAGAGAGUUAAACAGUACGUGAAAUUGUCAAAAGGGAAGCGUUUGACACCAGUGUUGUUCUUCUGAAAAUCAAUUAAAGAACUGUUUAUGCUAAGUUGUUUAGACUUUAUCAGCUAUCUGUUUAGUUUUGAGCUUUUCUUUAAUGCACUUUUCAGUUAACAAGUCAACAUCAAUUUCUUUUGCUGUAAAAAAGCUUGAGGAAGGUGGCUUGAGAUUCGUCUUAAGUGUUUAUAGCCUCUUGCCUAUGCAGUCGGAGAGAUUGAGGUCUGCAGCGUAGAUCCUUCGGGGCUAAAUGCAUUUGUGCUAAGUUAUAGCAUUUUAUAGACAACUUGUUGACUAUGAUUUGUCUUGUAGCUUACUCGCUUAUGUUAUUUUACCUACGCUUAGGAUGUUGAAGAUGUAGCACAUCA